UACGUAGGCAGCGAGCGUUGUUCGGAAUUACUGGGCGUAAAGAGUGUGUAGGCGGUGCUCUAAGUUCGGUGUGAAAUCUCCCGGCUUAACUGGGAGGGUGCGCCGGAAACUGGAGUGCUCGAGCGUGGGAGAGGAAAGCGGAAUUCCUGGUGUAGCGGUGAAAUGCGUAGAUAUCAGGAGGAACACCUGUGGCGAAAGCGGCUCACUGGACCAUAACGGACGCUGAUGCACGAAAGCUAGGGGAGCAAACAGG
rnacentral:rRNA from 1 species